UGGGGAAUAUUGCACAAUGGGCGCAAGCCUGAUGCAGCCAUGCCGCGUGUGUGAAGAAGGCCUUCGGGUUGUAAAGCACUUUCAGCGAGGAGGAAGGUGGUGAGCUUAAUACGCUCAUCAAUUGACGUUACUCGCAGAAGAAGCACCGGCUAACUCCGUGCCAGCAGCCGCGGUAAUACGGAGGGUGCAAGCGUUAAUCGGAAUUACUGGGCGUAAAGCGCACGCAGGCGGUUUGUUAAGUCAGAUGUGAAAUCCCCGGGCUCAACCUGGGAACUGCAUUUGAAACUGGCAAGCUAGAGUCUCGUAGAGGGGGGUAGAAUUCCAGGUGUAGCGGUGAAAUGCGUAGAGAUCUGGAGGAAUACCGGUGGCGAAGGCGGCCCCCCUGGACGAAGACUGACGCUCAGGUGCGAAAGCGUGGGGCAGCAAACAGGAUUAGAUACCCUGGUAGUCCAGCGCUGUAAACGAUGUCGAUUUGGAGGUUGUGCCCUUGAGGCGUGGCUUCCGGAGCUAACGCGUUAAAGUCGACCGCCUGGGGGAG
rnacentral:rRNA from 1 species